AUUGAACGCUGGCGGCAGGCCUAACACAUGCAAGUCGAGCGGAUGACGGGAGCUUGCUCCUUGAUUCAGCGGCGGACGGGUGAGUAAUGCCUAGGAAUCUGCCUGGUAGUGGGGGACAACGUUUCGAAAGGAACGCUAAUACCGCAUACGUCCUACGGGAGAAAGCAGGGGACCUUCGGGACUUGCGCUAUCAGAUGAGCCUAGGUCGGAUUAGCUAGUAGGUGAGGUAAUGGGUCACCUAGGCGACGAUCCGUAACUGGUCUGAGAGGAUGAUCAGUCACACUGGAACUGAGACACGGUCCAGACUCCUACGGGAGGCAGCAGUGGGGAAGAUUGGACAAUGGGCGAAAGCCUGAUCCAGCCAUGCCGCGUGUGUGAAGAAGGUCUUCGGAUUGUAAAGCACUUUAAGUUGGGAGGAAGGGCAGUAAGCUAAUACCUUGCUGUUUUGACGUUACCGACAGAAUAAGCACCGGCUAACUCUGUGCCAGCCGCCGCGGUAAAAC
rnacentral:rRNA from 1 species